GACGAACGCUGGCGGCGUGCUUAACACAUGCAAGUCGAACGGAAAGGCCCUGCUUGCAGGGUACUCGAGUGGCGAACGGGUGAGUAACACGUGGGUGAUCUGCCCUGCACUUCGGGAUAAGCCUGGGAAACUGGGUCUAAUACCGGAUAGGAGCCAUUUUUAGUGUGAUGGUUGGAAAGUUUUUUCGGUGUAGGAUGAGCUCGCGGCCUAUCAGCUUGUUGGUGGGGUAAUGGCCUACCAAGGCGGCGACGGGUAGCCGGCCUGAGAGGGUGGACGGCCACAUUGGGACUGAGAUACGGCCCAGACUCCUACGGGAGGCAGCAGUGGGGAAUAUUGCACAAUGGGCGCAAGCCUGAUGCAGCGACGCCGCGUGGGGGAUGACGGCCUUCGGGUUGUAAACUACUUUCGCUAGGGACGAAGCUUUUUGUGACGGUACCUAGAUAAGAAGCACCGGCUAACUACGUG
rnacentral:rRNA from 1 species